GAUGAUAUUGUUGAAUUCAGUACAACCAUUCUUCGAAUUGGCUGCAAGUUCGAUUUGUGUCCCAACGGGUGUUGUAGGAAUUUUGCAUCGUCAUAUUAUCUGAUGCAUUAAUCGAAUGCUGAUUUUUUUUUGUGUGUUAUUUUAAUUUUUAAAUACAUAUACAGUGUUUUUGGUAAUUUAUGACGUACAAGAAGGUUGUCUUUUGAGUAGGUUUUUCGGCCCAUUUCCGUUCUGACGUAGUCAACGACGACAUCGAAGCUCUGUGGCUCCACCAAUGGCGGCGACUACACAUCUCCUCUACCAAUCUCCGAUUCUUCCGAAAAUCCAAGCUCAACACCAAUUCACUCGGAACCCAUUUCCCAGAACCCCCAUUUUACCUCUUAAAUCGAACCUCAAGCCCCUGAAACGCCUCUCCCUCAAAGCCGCCGUCUCCCAUAACCCUGCAAAAACCCUAACCAGGGAUGCUAAUAGCGACCAGACAACCUCGUUUCACCACUGUUUCAAGAAAUCCUCAGAUGGGUUCCUCUACUGUGAGGAAACUAGGGUCCAGGACAUCAUAGAGAGCGUGGAGAAGAGACCCUUUUACUUGUACAGCAAGCCUCAGAUCACCCGGAACUUCGAGGCGUACAGUGAGGCCUUGAAAGGGUUGCGAUCAAUCAUCGGUUACGCGAUAAAAGCCAAUAACAAUCUCAAGAUUCUUGAGCAUUUGAGGGGUUUGGGUUGCGGUGCUGUUCUUGUCAGUGGAAAUGAGCUCAGGCUUGCUCUCCGAGCUGGUUUCGAUCCGGCUAAGUGCAUUUUCAAUGGAAACGGCAAGCUCUUGGAGGAUUUGGUUCUAGCUGCUCAAGAAGGCGUUUUCGUAAACGUUGAUAGUGAAUUCGACUUAGAGAACAUCGUGCAAGCUUCGAGAAUUGCUGGCAAGAAGGUCAAUGUUCUGCUUCGUAUCAAUCCUGAUGUUGACCCUCAGGUGCAUCCAUAUGUGGCUACAGGGAACAAGAACUCAAAGUUUGGUAUUAGGAACGAGAAGCUCCAGUGGUUUCUGGAUGAGGUGAAAGCUCAUCCCGAAGAGCUGAAGCUUGUUGGAGCACAUUGUCAUCUAGGAUCUACCAUUACAAAGGUGGAUAUAUUCAGAGAUGCUGCUGUCCUUAUGGUGAAAUAUAUUGAUGAAAUUCGAGCUCAAGGCUUCGAAGUCAAUUACUUGAACAUUGGUGGCGGUUUAGGGAUAGAUUAUUACCACACUGGUGCUGUCCUUCCCUCACCGAGGGAUCUCAUCGACACUGUGAGAGAGCUUGUUCUUUCACGCGACUUGAAUCUAAUAAUUGAGCCGGGAAGAUCACUUAUUGCAAACACUUGUUGUUUCGUGAACCACGUUACUGGCGUGAAAACAAACGGGACUAAGAAUUUCAUAGUGGUUGAUGGAAGUAUGGCUGAACUUAUCCGCCCGAGCCUUUACGGUGCCUAUCAGCAUAUCGAAUUGGUCUCUUCUCCGCCACAUGAGGCAGAGGUUUCCACAUUUGACAUUGUCGGUCCAGUGUGCGAAUCUGCCGAUUUCUUGGGGAAAGACAGAGAGCUUCCGACCCCUUCAAAAGGUGCCGGUCUGGUGGUUCACGACGCGGGUGCAUACUGUAUGAGCAUGGCGUCGACGUAUAAUCUCAAGAUGCGCCCUCCUGAAUACUGGGUUGAAGAAGAUGGGUCAAUCGCCAAGAUCAGGCACGGAGAGGCAUUCGAAGACCAUUUGCGUUUCUUCGAAGGUCUUUGAGCAUGACACCUCUGAGUUUUUUCCCCCCUCAGACUAGAGAGAUUCCGAAGCAGAAGCAUGUUAUUGUUUCGAAAUUCCAGUAAGUUUAUCCGUUCUUAUAUCAGUUUGGUUCGAUUUAUUCUGGUUUAAGAAUCGGAGUUUUUUCCUUGUUAAGGAUGCCCUUUGAAGAUCCUCCCUGAUAUGUUUAUUCCAACCCGUAUCUCUCAGGUAGCUGUCUGAUUGACGCCCAAAUGUCCGGAUACCACGUGUUUUCCGACUGACGAGAACAAGGAGUUAAGUUGAGAAAAGAGGCGAGAAAAUAUGUAUUCGAGACGAGAUCGAGGCGUCGGAGACAAGACGAGACGAGGCGACUGUGACUCAGAGUGAUGUAGACAAAAGUGAGGCGAGGAACACAAAACCAUGAUCCUAGACUAUGGAUGAUUAUAAGCAUCGGAGACCCAGAGUGAGUGUUGCACAGAGUGAAUUUAGACGACGGAGUUGAGAUGGGUACUUAUGGAUAGGAGUGUCAAUCGGGCCGGUCUGGCUUGACCUGACCUGAGUCCGCAUUCAAUCCGAAGGUUUUGAGUUCGGGUUCGGGUCGGUCCGAUUUUUUUCAGGCCUAUAUAACUAAGCAUGAAGUUCGGCUCUAUAUAUUCCUGCUUCGGAUCGGGUCAGGUCAGGUCGGGUUGGUCCGCAUAAUUUUCUUUGUAAAUAUCAUUUUUUUCGUUUUUCUUCUUUAAUUUUUAAAAAAAUAUUGGCGAUUCGGGCCGGUCCAAACCGGACUUGAAGCCCGAUUUGAGUCCGGCCCAAAAACCCGAUUUUUUUGGGCUAGAAAACUUAGGUACGAAGUCCGUUAAUUUUCGGGUUAGGCUUGCCGGACUUUGAGCCCCAGGCUUGGCAUACCUAGUGUGGAUAGGCUGACCGACAUUCAAAUCCAAAAUUUGACUUCGCGUUGUUGCUGAACCUAUAGUCAUUCUGUCCAUAGAUGAAUACUCGAAUUUUGAAUAUUCUAUUUGCCAAUC